rnacentral:rRNA from 1 species
AGAGUUUGAUCCUGGCUCAGGACGAACGCUGGCGGCGUGCUUAACACAUGCAAGUCUACGAGAACGAGGUAGCAAUAUCUUUAGUAAAGUGGCGCACGGGUGCGUAACACGUAAGCAAUCUACCUUUGGGUCUGGAAUAACUUCGAGAAAUCGAGGCUAAUACCGGAUAAUGCAGCGGCACCGCAUGGUGAUGUUGUUAAAGUUUAAGUAAUGCCUAUAGAUGAGCUUGCGUCUGAUUAGCUAGUUGGUAGGGUAAAGGCCUACCAAGGCUACGAUCAGUAGCUGGUCUGAGAGGAUGAUCAGCCACACUGGAACUGAGACACGGUCCAGACUCCUACGGGAGGCAGCAGUGAGGAAUAUUGGGCAAUGCCCGCAAGGGUGACCCAGCAACGCCGCGUGGAGGAUGAAGGCCGUAAGGUUGUAAACUCCUGUUAGAGGAGAAGAGUAGUACCGAUUGGAUCGGUAUUUGACUGUACCCUCAGAGAAAGCCCCGGCUAACUACGUGCCAGCAGCCGCGGUAAUAC